rnacentral:rRNA from 1 species
AUACGGAGGGUGCGAGCGUUACUCGGAGUCACUGGGCGUAAAGCGUCCGUAGGCGGUCGGGUAAGUCGGGUGUGAAAGCCCCGGGCUCAACCUGGGAAGUGCGCCCGAUACUGCUCGACUCGAGUGCGGGAGAGGAUGGCGGAAUUCCCGGUGUAGCGGUGAAAUGCGUAGAGAUCGGGAGGAACACCAGUGGCGAAGGCGGCCAUCUGGCCCGCAACUGACGCUGAGGGACGAAAGCGUGGGGAGCAAACAGGAUUAGAAACCCUAGUAGUCC